CCUAUUACCAAAACUGUAACCCUGCUAAAGCUUUAAGUCAACAUGAGUCUUACGUUUGAAGUCGUCAUGGGGUACAUAGUACACACCAGUUGUCCUUGUAGCAGUGGAGUUAGUAGCAAACACUGCAUCUCUGAGGCAUGCGCAGAUCUAUGUGAAUGUUCUCGCAUACUGGGCAGAUCAUACGGUUGCAGAGAGAUAUGUUCUUACACCCUACAACUUUAUUAGUCUCCAUUUGCCAGAUCUAUUUAAAUUAUUUGCUCCUUCUGAUUAACAUUUAACACUUUGAUUAGUGGUGUUACUACCACAGACACAGUGGUCGGAGCGGACCCGUCACUACAGGGGGCCUGGCCGGCCUGUAUGCCUCUGCAACAUUGGGCCGGCAUAACUUCAAGGCCAGUGCACAGCCGCAGCACAUGGAUAUGCUGGGGGGUGGUAAUGAGACACAUGAAUGGGUGGUGGGGAUGAGAUAUAUGGAUGGG